AGCUUUUUCAGACCGUGCUGAGAUUUCGUCAGACACCAUUCAAUUAGGGCAGAUCAGACUCGCAAGAUAAGUGAGAUU
rnacentral:pre_miRNA from 1 species